rnacentral:rRNA from 1 species
CGAACCCUUCGGGGUUAGUGGCGCACGGGUGCGUAACGCGUGGGAACCUGCCUUUAGGUUCGGAAUAACUCAGAGAAAUUUGAGCUAAUACCGGAUGAUGUCUUCGGACCAAAGAUUUAUCGCCUUUAGAUGGGCCCGCGUUAGAUUAGAUAGUUGGUGGGGUAAUGGCCUACCAAGUCGACGAUCUAUAGCUGGUCUGAGAGGAUGAUCAGCCACACUGGGACUGAGACACGGCCCAG